UACAGAGGUCUCGAGCGUUGUUCGGAUUUACUGGGCGUAAAGGGCGCGUAGGCGGCCACCGCAAGUCGGUUGUGAAAUCUCUGGGCUUAACCCAGAAAGGUCAACCGAUACUGCGGGGCUAGAGUGCAGAAGGGGCAACUGGAAUUCUCGGUGUAGCGGUGAAAUGCGUAGAUAUCGAGAGGAACACCUGCGGCGAAGGCGGGUUGCUGGGCUGACACUGACGCUGAAGCGCGAAAGCUAGGGGAGCGAACGGG
rnacentral:rRNA from 1 species